AAUAGAUACCCAGGUAGUCCAUGCCGUAAACGUUGGGCACUAGGUGUGGGGCUCAUUCCACGAGUUCCGUGCCGCAGCUAACGCAUUAAGUGCCCCGCCUGGGGAGUACGGCCGCAAGGCUAAAACUCAAAGGAAUUGACGGGGGCCCGCACAAGCGGCGGAGCAUGCGGAUUAAUUCGAUGCAACGCGAAGAACCUUACCAAGGCUUGACAUAUACCGAAAACUCGUAGAGAUACGGGGUCCGCAAGGGCGGUAUACAGGUGGUGCAUGGUUGUCGUCAGCUCGUAUCGUGAGAUGUUGGGUUAAGUCCCGCAACGAGCGCAACCCUCGUCCUAUGUUGCCAGCGGGUAAUGCCGGGGACUCAUAGGAGACUGCCGGGGUCAACUCGGAGGAAGGUGGGGAUGAGGUCGAAUCAUCAUGCCCCUUAUGUCUUGGGCUUCACGCAUGCUACAAUGGCCGGUACAAAGGGCUGCGAUACCGCAAGGUGGAGCGAAUCUCAAAAAGCCGGUCUCAGUUCGGAUUGGGGUCUGCAACUCGACCCC
rnacentral:rRNA from 1 species